UGGUCUGAUCCUCUGCCUACUCUUGUUCC
rnacentral:piRNA from 1 species